GCUGACGAGUGGCGCACGGGUGAGUAACGCGUAGGUAAACUACCAUAGGGACCUGGAUAGCCCUACGAAAGUAGGAUUAAUACGGGAUGUACUUAUAUUUUCAUAAGAUUUUAUAAGUAAAUAGUUUUCCUGCUCUAUGAUGUGCCUGCGUUAGAUUAGUUUGUUGGUGGGGUAAUGGCCUACCAAGGCUGCGAUCUAUAGCCGGGCUGAGAGGCUGACCGGNCACAUUGGGACUGAGACACGGCCCAGACUCCUACGGGAGGCAGCAGCUAAGAAUCUUCCGCAAUAGUCGAUAGACUGACGGAGCGACGCCGCGUGAGUGAUGAAGGCCUUUUAGGUUGUAAAACUCUUUUAUAUUGGAAGAAUAUAUAGUAUUAGACUAUAUUGACUGUACUUUAUGAAUAAGGUCCGGCUAACUACGUGCCAGCAGCCGCGGUAAUACGUAGGGACCGAGCGUUGUUCGGAAUUAUUGGGCGUAAAGGGUAUGUAGGCGGUCUAUUAAGUUAGAUGUGAAAAAUCUGGGCUCAACCGAGAUCUUGCGUCUAAUACUGAUAGGCUAGAGUCUCUGAGAGGAAGGCGGAAUUCCUGGUGUAGGGGUGAAAUCUAUAGAUAUCAGGAAGAACACCGGUUGCGAAGGCGGCCUUCUGGCAGAGGACUGACGCUGAGGUACGAAAGUUAGGGUAGCAAACAGGAUUAGAGACCCUGGUAGUCCUAACCGUAAACGUUGUGUACUAGGUGGUUGAAGUAUUGAUCCUUUGACUGCCGCAGCAAACGCAUUAAGUAUACCGCCUGGGGAGUAUGCCGGCAACGGUGAAACUCAAAGGAAUUGACGGGGCCCCGCACAAGCAGUGGAGCAUGUUGCUUAAUUCGAUGAUACGCGAGUAACCUUACCAGGUCUUGACAUAUACCUGUCUGGUGUAGAAAUACAUCAUUGCUUCGGCACGGGUAUACAGGUGCUGCAUGGUUGUCGUCAGCUCGUGCCGUGAGGUGUUGGGUUAAGUCCCGCAACGAGCGCAACCCUUAUUCUUUGUUGCUAACAGGUUAAGCUGAGCACUCUAAGGAGACUGCCGGUGACAAACCGGAGGAAGGUGGGGACGACGUCA
rnacentral:rRNA from 1 species